AGCGAACGCUGGCGGCAGGCUUAACACAUGCAAGUCGAGCGGGCGUAGCAAUACGUCAGCGGCAGACGGGUGAGUAACGCGUGGGAACGUACCUUUUGGUUCGGAACAACACAGGGAAACUUGUGCUAAUACCGGAUAAGCCCUUACGGGGAAAGAUUUAUCGCCGAAAGAUCGGCCCGCGUCGGAUUAGCCAGUUGGUGAGGUAACGGCUCACCAAGGCGACAGUCAGUAGCUGGUCUGAGAGGAUGAUCAGCCACAUUGGGACUGAGACACGGCCCAAACUCCUACGGGAGGCAGCAGUGGGGAAUAUUGGACAAUGGGCGCAAGCCUGAUCCAGCCAUGCCGCGUGAGUGAUGAAGGCCCUAGGGUUGUAAAGCUCUUUUGUGCGGGAAGAUAAUGACGGUACCGCAAGAAUAAGCCCCGGCUAACUUCGUGCCAGCCGCCGCAGUAA
rnacentral:rRNA from 1 species